UUUUUGUCAUAUUCAAAAAGCGGAGGAAUAGAAACCAACAGGGAUUGCCUCAGUAGCGGCGAGUGAAGCGGCAAGAGCUCAGAUUUGAAAUCUCACCUAGUGUGCGAGUUGUAAAUUGCAGGUUGGAGUCUCGGGUUAGACGUGUGUGCAAGUCCCUUGGAACAGGGUGCCACUGAGGGUGAGAGCCCCCUAGCGUGCAUGUCGACACCUGUGAGGCCCUUCUGACGAGUCGAGUUGUUUGGGAAUGCAGCUCUAAGUGGGUGGUAAAUUCCAUUUAAGGCUAAAUAUUGGCGAGAGACCGAUAGCGAACAAGUACUGUGAAGGAAAGAUGAAAAGCACUUUGAAAAGAGAGUGAAACAGCACGUGAAAUUGUUGAAAGGGAAGGGUAUUGGGCUCGACAUGGGAUUUACGCAUCGUUGCCUCUCGUGGGCGGCGCUCUGGGUUUUUCCUGGGCCAGCAUCGGUUUUCGUUGCAGGAUAAGGACAAUUGGAAUGUGGCUCCUCGGAGUGUUAUAGCCUUUUGUAGAUGCUGCGUAUGGGGACCGAGGGCUGCGGCGGACUCGUUUCGUCUCGGAUGCUGGCACAACGGCGCAAUACCGCCUUUUAAA
rnacentral:rRNA from 1 species